ACUCCUACGGGAGGCAGCAGUAGGGAAUCUUCCACAAUGGGCGCAAGCCUGAUGGAGCAACACCGCGUGAGUGAAGAAGGGUUUCGGCUCGUAAAGCUCUGUUGUUAAAGAAGAACACGUAUGAGAGUAACUGUUCAUACGUUGACGGUAUUUAACCAGAAAGUCACGGCUAACUACGUGCCAGCAGCCGCGGUAAUACGUAGGUGGCAAGCGUUAUCCGGAUUUAUUGGGCGUAAAGAGAGUGCAGGCGGUUUUCUAAGUCUGGUGUGAAAGCCUUCGGCUUAACCGGAGAAGUGCAUCGGAAACUGGAUAACUUGAGUGCAGAAGAGGGUAGUGGAACUCCAUGUGUAGCGGUGGAAUGCGUAGAUAUAUGGAAGAACACCAGUGGCGAAGGCGGCUACCUGGUCUGCAACUGACGCUGAGACUCGAAAGCAUGGGUAGCGAACAGGAUUAGAUACCCUGGUAGGAAAGAC
rnacentral:rRNA from 1 species